UAAAGAAAAAAAGAUAAGGAAGAGAAAAUUUAAGAUUCCAUAUAUAUGAAACCAACUAAAUUAAAUCUCUAAGAUAAAAAAAGGAUUAGUUUUCUGGUCUAUGAAAUUUUCAAUAUCAACAGAAAAUUUCAGCUAUUAGAUACUUAAAAACCUCCACAUUUUAACACUUCGCAAACUCGUUUCCUAUUUGAAAACACCAAAAAUGAUUUAGACGCAUAAAUCUUCUUUCGUCAUAGAAGGUUUCCAUUUGUUUUGGUUGGUAUCUCUCACUAGCUCAUCUCCUGGCCCACAAUAUCAAUGACCCUAUCACUAACCCAUCGUCUCAUCGUCUCAUCGUCUUCGUCUUGUUGUUACUCAUCAAAGAUGUACUAUUGUCAUCUCUUCCUAUUCACUUCUCAGUCUUCAACAAACCAUUACAACUCUGUCAUAAAACCUUGUUCCUUAAUUUAUGAAAGCAUGAACCUCUUUUGAUUCCCUAAGAUAUUUUUCUUUAUUUAUCCCACAGUUUUCUUGCUCCUCAGUGAAUAUUUAAAUUUUAUCGUCUCAUUGUUUGUAAUUUUAAGUUUAAUCUGGAAUUACAUAUUCAUGAUUUUUAAAAUUAUGUGUAUGUGUGUUGAUGUUAUUGGCACCACUCAAAAGUUCAAAAAUAUAAACCAAAAUAAAAAUGCGAUAAAAUUUAUAUAUGAUAAUAUUUUAAUUCAUUGAAAUCCUAUGAAAUAAUUCUCUCAUGGAUUUAUUUAUUAAUCUUAAAUCAUAUAUCAGUUGAUAUUUAAAUUAUAGAGAAAUAACAAUAUAUUUUGAGUUUGAGAUAUUCUCAUUGAAUUAAAAUUAUAGAUAUGCUAUUACAGUUUUCACCAAUUAAGUUACCAGUUUGUCAUGGUAAUUUUUUGAACCUAACUUUACAAUAAUGACUAAAAAGUUUCUAUAUAUGUUAAAGUGACUGCCAGUUUACCAGUCAAAUAUGUAAAUUAGUCAAAACACUCUUUUCAUGAAUAUUAAAUAUCUAAAAACAAUGUACCAUCCUUCCAUAUAUUUUCUUUUACCUAUAUAUAUUUUGGGGACCCGAAUGGUUUCAUUUGGACAUUUACCAAAAAUAAAACACUUAGGAGAUUGUAGUUGACCAAUGUUAAUUACUUUUGUUGUCUUUAUAUAUUUAGUUAUAGGAUUGGUGGUAUGAGAUUCCAAAAAAAAAAUUGGUAAUAUGUAUCAUGAAUUAUAUAAUUAAUACAAAGCCAAUAUAAAAACUUAUCAAUAAUAUUUUGAUUUACAAGAUAUCAUUUUGUAUAUGUUUAUUAAAUAAUUUAAAAGUGUUUUAUAGAGGUUCUCUAGAUUAAAUUAUGUUUUGGAUUUACCUAUUUCUGCAAGUAUUGACACAAGUUUUUAAUUUUAUGAUAUGAUGUUCCAUGAACUCAGGAGAUCGUAGUGGACCAGUGCUAUUUUUGGUAAAUUACAAAUUAUUUUACAAUGAAAGAAUGCAAUGGAAGGGGGAUUUAGACUCUUAGUUUGUAAUGAUAGAAUGUUCGUAAAAUAAUUUAUUUCUUGUUUGUGUAUUGAAAACAGACCAAUAUAACAGUGACUCAUCAUCAAACAAAGUGCUUUGUGGUUGUAUUGUUGAAUAGAAACUUAUUUGUGGUUGUACUGUUGGAUAUUGACUAGUUUGUGGUUGUAUGGUUUAAGAGUUUGAGUCCAUGCUCUAACAUUAACCAUGUAUGCAUACAUGCAUCUUAUUUAUAUGUGGCAUAUAUAUAUAGCUUAUUUUAUGAAAAUCUAUGACCUCUUUACAAAACUUCUAUGUCGUGACUUUUUAUUUCUAUGUUAUCCAUUUCAUUAACCAAUAUGAGUCGCAAUAUUUAUAUCAAAUUUUAACGACCUCUUAUAAAAAAAGAAUGUUUUGGAAAAAAAGAUGGCAUUUUUAUCUAAAAUUUACAGAUUAUAUAUUAUGCACACAACAAUUCAUUCAAUUUAUUGAGGUUCUCUAGAUUAAAUUUUGAGUUACAAGCUAUCGUUUUUUAUGUUUAUUAAAUAAUUAAAAACAUUUAUAGAGGUUCUCUAGAAUAAAUAAUGUUUUGGAUUUGCCUAUUUUGGCAAGUAUGGACACAAGUUUUUAAUUGUAUGUUAUGAUGUUCCAUGAACUCAGAACAUCGUAGUUGGCCAAUGUUAUUCUUGCAUGACAACUGCUUAUGCAAGUUGACUACUAGAUCAUCACAUCUCCUUUCAUUUAGUAAUAAAUUAUUUUUAGUAAAAUACAACUUAUUUUGCACUGAUAGAAUGCAUGGAGGAGGAUUUAGACUAUUAUUCAGUAAUGAUAGAAUGUUCAUAAAAUGAUUUGUUAUUUGUGUAUUUAACAACGACCAAUAUAAUAGUGACUCAUCAGCAAAUAAAAUACGUUGUAGUUGUAUUGGUGAACAGUAAUUGAUUUGUGGUUGUACUGUUAAACAUUGACUAGUUUGUGGUUGUAUGGUUUAGCAGUUUGAGUCCAUGCUCUUACAUUAACAGUGUGUGCAUAUAUGGGCGUUAUAUAUUAAUUAUUUUGUGAAAAUCUAUGACCUCUUUACAAACCUUUUGUGCUUUUUGCUUUAUAUGUGAUCCAUUUCAUUAACUAAUAUGAGUCAAAAUAUUUAUAUCAAAUGCUUUCCGAACUCGUAUAGAAAAAAAUUAUAUUGAAAAAAGAUUGUAUUUAUAUUUAAAAUAUACAGAGGUUAUAUAUUAUGCAUACAAUAACUCAUUCAAUUUUCAAAGUUUAACUACUUUGUCAUCGUUCCAUUUUGUCUUUAAGAGGACAUAUAUCAGAAACUGACUAAAUUAAAUCAUUAAGAUUUUUUUGGUCUAAAAAUUAUCUACAUCAUCAGGAAAAUUACAGCUAGUAGAUACUCAAAUCCUCCGCAUUUUUACACUUCACCAUCUUUUCUCAUCUUUGAAAACACAAAAGAGAGUUAACCGUCUAAAUAUUUGUUGUCAUGUAAUUUUUCCAUUUGUUUCUUUGGUAUCUCUCUCUAGCUCACUCAUGGCCCACAAUAUCAGUUUCUUUGGUAUCUCUCUCUAGCUCACUCAUGGCCCACAAUAUCAGUGAAUCACUAACAUGCCGAAUCAUGGUCUUCGUCUUGAUGUUAUUCAUCAAAUAUGUACUAUUGUCAUCUCUUCCUAUCCACUUAUUUAGUCGUCAUCAAACCAUUACAAACGUAUCAUAAAACCUUAUUCCUUACUUCAAGACGACAUGAACCUCUUUCGAUUCCCUAAGAUCAUUUCCUUAUUUAUCCCACAGUUUUUUUGCUUCGCAGUAACUAUUAAAAUCUAAUUGUCUCAUUAUAUGAGAGUCUAAUAUUUAGUCAGGAAUUAAAUAUUCAGAAUUUUUAAAGGUACGCAUGUGUGUUGAUUUAAAGGGCACAAAUCAAAAGUUCACAAAUAUAGGCGAAAAUAAAAAAUGAGAUAAGAUUUAUAAACAAUAAUUUAUCUUUGUUUGAAAAUUCAUUAGAAUCCCAUGAAAUAUGUAUCUCAUAGAUUGGUUUAUUAAUUUUAAAUCAUAAACCCGUUGGUUUAUUAAUUUUAAAUCAUAAAUCCUUGGGUAAAUAUUCCUCAAAGCUCAUACCUCACAGUCACAUCCAAUAUUUCUAAAUGGAAACAAUCGCUUUGUCAUUGCAGAUAGCAACUUUGACUAAAGAUCAUGGAACAGUGCUUGGGAAAUGUGGUUUCUCACUGGCGUACAUUCUUCUUUUUAGUGAGCGAAGUUGUAUUGUGACCAGCCGAGUUAACUUGAGAUAUCUCCCGAGUUCACAAAUCAUUACAAGUUUGGUACAAAACUUCAUCAACUGAGCUUACUCUUAGGCUGAUUAGGAAUGGACAGGCUGAUGCUGUUUGUUGGAUAAUUCCAAGCUUGUGGAAAUUUAACAUAUUAUUAGAUGUUUAAUAUGUUAAGAUAAACACAAUAAGAAAACCUAGAAAUAAGAAAAGGAAGUUUCUAUUUAGGUUAGGUUUGUGUUUUCCAUAUCCUACAUAUUAAAGGGAAUUGUCUUUCAUAUAAAUAUAGGUCUAAUGGAGAGGUGUUCCAUAUGAUCUGAGAGAAACAUAUUGAGAGUUUUAGUUUUGAGUAGUUUCUAAAGCUAAUAAGAAAAGUUGUUUUUAUAACUCUUUGUGUUUCUAAGAGAUUUGACUGUUAGAGGUAAAAUAAACUGUUUCUGCUUUUUCAAUGAACCUUCUCGAACAAAAUGUUAUGUUUAGCUAACUGCUAGUUAAAUUUUUUAGCUGAUUCUUCUGUUUUGUUUUUAUAUUCUUAAUUACCAUUUCAAGCGAAUCCUUGUGGUUGUGGAGGCAAGUUUACGUGGGAAGAAAACAUUUGGACAUGCCCAAAAUACUAGUGGAGAUUGGUGUUUUCUUCAACAUCUCCGUGGUUGUCGCCUCCUUGACCAAGUACAACGUGGAGCAUGUGGGAUAUUAAAAGAGAGGAAAAUUAGUGGUGUCAUCCGCUGCUUCUUCAGUUGCUUAUCAUUUGGAUCUGUUCACAGAUAAAUUUAUAGCCCGGUCAUUUUAGAAUAUAGAUUGUGCAAUCCAUAUUUUAUGGGUUUACUCUAACCUCAUAGAAAAUAGCUCCCAGUUAUUUUUCCUUUGUUGUUCAAUGUCUCUGGUUCAUUUAUUUUCUAAUAUUAUCACUUCAAGAACAUUUGUCUUGAUAUUUUCUAAUAUACAUCUCAUGGUUCCUAAUGUAGAGCUUCCUCAGGUGAAGGAUCUUGGAAGGUUUUGCAGAGCUUGGCUAAAGAAGCAGGAUUUUCGCAUUCCACAAUUGGAGCCAGUAUUUCAGAUGGUGAAAAGUUUUGCACGACAUGGAAACUUUGUUACUUGAAUGGGCUAUGCAAAUAUUUGAACGGUAUAACAUAAGUGAAGGAGUUUGUCAGUUUGCCUAUGCAGCCCUUGAGCAAGUAUUUCAUGGAAAGUAGUGAGACUUCAGCAAGUAUUUCAUGGAAAGUAGUGAGAAUGUCCAUCUACAUGUAACAGCCACCUAUUGUAGAGGACGACUGUGGGCAAAUGUUUUCAAGUUCACCUUAGAUCUGUAUCUAUUGAAUGAUGCUUACUGUGCUAGACCCCAUGAAACCUUUUUCUCUACAAUGUCUGGGAUCACGAGAACAUUUCACAGCCAUCAUUCUAAUUUUUAUAAACAGUGUAUUCGUGUGCAAUUCCGGCUUGGUGCAUAUAGUUUUCUGGGACUAAAAAUGAUCCUUUUUUUUAAUUUCAGAUCCUCAGUGAUGGACAUCUGCCUUUCAUUGGCUUAACAGAGAAGAUAGCUUUUCUGGAAGGCCGGGCGUUCUGAGAUAAUGAUUAAGCCAAAUCCAUACAAGCUUCUUUAUGCUUACUAGAUGACAGUGGCGGAUCUAGAACUAGUAUUAAUGGGGGGCACCAAAUUCUUUAAUAACUAACUCAUUUAAAAAAAAAAAAUUCAUAACCAAAAAAAUACCUUACAAAUUUAUCCUACGAGAUUCCAUAGUUUGAAAUCUUUUCACUACUACUUCAUUUGUUACUUUCUCAAACAAUUCUUUUUCAACAAAACAAAUAACACAAUCAUUUAAAAACUGAUCACUUAUCCAGUUCCGCAAGCUAGUCUUUACAAUCUUCAUCGCUGAAAAACAUCUUUCAAUUGUAGCAGUGGCAACAUGUAAAGUCAAAACUAGUUUCAAAAGCCGAUAAACCUGAGGAUGUGAAAGAUGUUUUUUUGUCUUCACCAUCAUGUAUGCAAGAUCUCCAAGAUCCUUCAAAUUAGAAAAUCUUUCAUCUUCCCGAAUAUUCGAAUAUUGUCAAUAUAAAGACCUAGUUGAUGCUCAAGAGUUAUCCGCUUGAUAUGACCAAAAUCCUCAGGAUAGAACUGAGACAAUAUCAUUACUUUUAACUGAUCAAACUCCUGAAAUGAAUUAGUGGGGCUCAAGGAAGCGAUGCAGCCAAGUAAUUAUGUGUUUACCUCAUCAAAACGGUCAUUAAAUUCAUAUCCAAUACAUUGUAAAAACACUCCACCUUGUAAUGAUGCAAAUUGGUUAUAUUGCUUCUUUUCCUUGAAUUCUUUGAAUCAAAUUCAUCAUCCAUAACCAGGAACUCAAUCUUGUAGUUCUCACAAAAGGUAAAAACUUUAUUGAUCAAAGAUUUUCAUCCAUCAUCUCUGAUCUUGUACAAUUGUUGCUUGGUGGACUUCACAAGUGACAUGGCAUUCAGAAUGUCUUGAUCUUUCCUUUGAAGAUCCUUUGACAAGUUAUUUGUGAUCCCAAGAAGAAGAACAAUCAAUUGUAAAUAGAACACAAAAUCAAAGGUGUGGAAGUAUUUGAGAAGACCAUUAGCUUGGCGUCUUUUGAUACCAUCACUUCCAUCGAUUUCAACAUACUCAAGCACUUUGAUGAUAGAAGCAAACAAAUCAACCAACCGCAGCAAUGUUUUAUAAUGAGAACCCCAACGAGUUUUACCGGGUCUUUGAAAUGAAAUCUCUUGGUUUAAUCCUUUUCCAGUCUUAAUUUCCCCUUUCUUAGUUUUUUUCUCACUUUUUUCCGGUGGUCUUCUCGAACCAUAUAUUUCUUCUUACAAGAAGCUCCAACCACAUUUAACAAGACAGCAAUCUUAUCAAAAAAAAAAUCUCCAACAUCAAAAUGCUUCUGAGCAACUGCAACGACAACUAACUGAAGCUGAUGAGCAAAACAAUGGACAUAAUAUGCAGAACUGCAUUCUCUCAGAAUUAGAGCUCUCAACCCAUUGAAUUCACCCUUCAUAUUACUCGCUCCAUCAUAACCUUGUCCUCUUAACUUCUUCAUACUCAAUCCAUGUUUAGCAAACAAGAAAUCAACAACACUCUUCAGAGAUAAAGAAGAUGUUUCUUUCACAUGAGUCAGACCAAGAAACCUUUCUUUAACUAUCCCUUGUGUAUCAACAAAGCGAAAAACUAUCGCCAUUUGCUCUUUAUCAGAAACAUCUGCAGAUUCAUCCACCAACAAGCAAAAUACACCAUGACCAACUUCUUUAAUAAUAGAUUCAAUAACUUCUUCCGCAAAGCAAUGAACUAUAUCUGUCUGAAUUUUGUGGGACACCAUCUGGUUGUUUUUGGGAGCAUUCUCUAACACAACUUUACUUACAAGCUCAUUUUACUGUGCAGUAUAUUUCAGAAGCUCCAAAAUGUUUCCCUUGUUAACUGAAUCCAUUGAUUCAUCAUGACCUCGAAACUGGAGUCCUUGUCUUAACAAAUACCUACAAGCAUCAAUUGAAGCAUUUAAUCUGAUCUUGUAUUCGUUUUUAGCCGCAUCAUUCUGCUUAUAAAAAGCAUGAACAAUUGAUUGUCCUGGUUUCAUCAGAUAAUCAGCCCUUUUCAAUGCACUAUUGUGAAAACUAUUCACUGCUCCUACAUGAUCACGUAAUCUCUCUGUCUUGUUCCAGUCAUCAAAGCCUUUGGUCACAAAUGCAUCACUUCCACAUUUGUUUUCACUGUAAUCUCUAAACAAGUAGCAGAACAAACAAAACGCUUUAUCCUUUUUCACACUAUAUUCUAACUAAUCGCCAUAGAGAUCAAACCAAGAGAGAUUGAAUCGUCUCAGUUUACCUUGAAACAAUGUUUUAGGAAAUUCAUGACCACGUGGUUGACAAGGACCUCUCAUAAGAUAUUUGCGUUUUACCUCGUCUCUUUGAUUUGGAAGAUACUCAGUUAUCCUUUUUCUAUCUCCAGGAUCAAUAGGUAAAUUCUCCAAAUCAUCUUUAGAGUCUCUUUUAUUUUUAGAAGGCAAAUCAUCUUCAGAGUUCUCAGAAGUAGAUGCAAAUUUUCUUUUAGGCUUGAAUUAUUUUUCCGUCGAAGUUGUCUCUGAAAGAAAAGUUAUCACAAUAGUCAAUACUAAAGUUUAUAAGUUCUCACGAUUUCUUAAAUCACAUAAAUCAUUCAAAUUUUUAUGUAGUUUUACGUUUUAGCUUCUCUGUAAAAUUUGCUAGACGUAAUCUAUGUCUGCGGCGUUUAGUUUUUUUUUGGUUUAGGAGAAAAAUUAAUUAGUAAAACCUAAAAGAAAGAAGACGUGGGUGUUAAUUUGGAAAAUUUCAGCUUCCAUUAUUAAUUUCUUUUAGUUUUUGAUUGGACUUUUAAAACUAAACUUGUUUGUACUUUUAUAUGGGCUAUAUGCUUACGAUAGUUGUGUCUCGACUUUGAUCCGUUGACUAGAAGCUAUAUAUAUAUAGGUUGAUGUUUGCAGUUUUUAAAAUGGUUUUUGGUUUUUGAUUUUCUAAAAUCUAUUUUUUUACCAAUCAAGAUUUUUGAAAAAUAAAUUCCUUAAAAUUUAGGGAAACCAGAUUUUGAAAUAACUACCUACUUCUUAUCAAAAACUAAAAACCACAUUUUUUUUGUUUCCUUAAACAAUGUACGUGACCUUUUGUUUUUUUUUUAAUAUUAUUUCUAUAUUUGAGCAUUAAUAUAGUAUAAUUAAAUAAAAAUACAUUAGUGAUAAUAUAGUACCAAAGCUAUUACACUUGAAUAAUAUUUUACUAAAGCUAUUACAGUUGAAUAAUAUUUUAUCUAAUAAUGAACCGAUAGCCACAUUUUUUAAUUUAAUUUAUUAAAUUAUAAAAUAAUUUAAUAAAAAAAUUAAAACUAAUUAAUUAAAAAAAGAAAAUUAUUUUUUAAAAUUUAGCCAAUACAAAAAAAUUAUGUAUAAAUUUAGUUGUAUUAAUGUACCUUUUAAUAAUUUUAGCUAGAUUAUGUAUAAAUAUAGUAAAAUUACAAAGCAAAGUAUAUAUAACUUAUGUUUAAACACAGAAUUAAAAUUUUAAGUUUAUGUUUAAACAUAAAAUU